rnacentral:rRNA from 1 species
AUUGAACGCUGGCGGCUGGCCUAACACAUGCAAGUCGAACGAGUGGCGGACGGGUGAGUAAUGUCUGGGAAACUGCCCGAUGGAUGGGGAUAACUACUGAAAACGGUAGCUAAUACCGCAUACCAUCGGAUGUGCCCAGAUGGGAUUAGCUAGUAGGUGGGGUAACGGCUCACCUCGGCGACGAUCCCUACCUGGUCUGAGAGGAUGACCAGCCACACUGGAACUGGAACAAGGUCCAGACUCCGAAGGGAGGCAGCAGUGGGGAAUAUUGAACCAGGGGCGAAAGCCUGAUGCAGCCAUGCCGCGUGUAUGAAGAAGGCCUUCGGGUUGUAAAGUACUUUCAGCGAGGAGGCGUUACUCGCAGAAGAAGCAUCGGCUAACUCCGUGCCAGCAGCGGCGGUAAUAC